UGAGCAAGGUGAAACAAAGUGUUCAUCCUUCUUAGAGAAGGUAGCUCCUCCAGUGGGUCUGGCCCAUUGAUGGGGUACCAUGUUGCUGGGAAAAUGAAUGGAGAGCAUCGGUUGGUGCACAAAGAGAACAUUCUGGGUGUGGGAAUUGGAUGAUGUCAACCCAGAACAGGGAUUAGGAGGCAAUUUCUGGCAAAAUGGAAAAUAAUGUAAGAAAGAAUCCAUACUAUACCCCAAAGCAGUGUAAGUGGUUGUGCUGGGUAAAGCCAGAACGUUUGGUUUGGCCUGAAAGGGUUUUGGUUUGUUAUGUUUGGGGGUUGCCUGAUUUUAAUGAGAUCUCUUCAUUUACAUGGGGGUCACUUUUUGAACUGAAAAAAGACAGAUUUGGGGGAAUGAGAAAAUCAAAAUGAUUCUUUUAGAAAAUGCCCAAAUACAACAAUUCAUCCUGAGAGGGGGAAUGAGAUAGCCUGAGAUCUUCAAAGCCUCCUCCCCUGCCCAACGCAGUGCUACAGCAGCGGAUGUGAAGCAGGACAAGGGGAAGGUCUACCAAGUGUCUGAGCCCCGAACUUCCCACCACUGCCAUCCAGUCUGUGCUGAAAAAUCCUUGGGAAUUACCAGCACCCACACUUGUUGGAAGCUCAGCAUCCUCCAUGGCUGGAGCAUUGCAAGCCCUGGGUGCAAGGUCCCCUUGCUGGAGAUGGAGACACCACCCCAAGAUGCAGAAGUGAUGCCGCUGUAACAGCCUGUGAUGGAGCUCAGCACCGUGGUGCUGGGAGCCGAGGGCACUGCUGCAGCAGGAGGGUGAUGGGAGAUGUGAUCAUCACCAGGAAACAGCAUUGGCUCUGCAGACACACCAUGGCCAACCAAGGGUGGGCGAAACCUCCUUGGGGAGCAGCUUUGGAGCUGACAUAAGCACCAGGACUUCAUCACCUUGAGAUGCUGAGCACCGGGAUGCUGAGCUCUGGGAUGCUGAGCCCAGGGAUGCUGAGCUGCAGGAUGC